UUUGGAGGAGCGACACUGUGUUGUUUAAACUGUUGGAGUCUUGUAUCUCUUUGUUCACGUGGAUGGUGACUGUGCCCUGGUUCUUCCCUCUUGAGAGUCCUUGGAUAACUGGGAUCCACUACCAAAGUCUUGACACCAGCUCCUGGAGGAAGCUCUCUAUCCACCUCACUGCACAGCUAUGAUGGCCAGAAAGCUCCAAUGCCAGGACUCAGGCUUCAAAAACGGGCUCUGGAGAUGGAGACAGGACUGGGUUGCUGUGCUCCUGAGCUGAUGACCUGGAGAAUGAGAUGGGCGUCAGCCAGAAGAAACAAGUCCUCAAAUGAGCACCUUUGAAAGCCUUGGGACUGAAGCUGGAGAGACAGCCCAGCGGUUAAGGGCCCUGUGCUGCUCUUCAAGAGGAUCCAAGUUUGGUUCCCAGCACCCACGUGGGAAGGCCUCAAGCUCCUGUAACCCCAUCUCCAGUGGAUCUGAUGCCCUCUUCUGGACUCCACAGGUACCCAUCUGCAUGUAUGCAUGGAAACACACGCAUAAAAAUAAAAUAAAUAUUUAAAACAACAACAGCAGUAACCUUGGCACCCAGGAGACAGAAGUUGUGAGCUCAGCGUCUGCUUAGAAUGGAGUUUCUUGGCCUCGGUUUACCUGGAGGCAUCUAGGAGCCUCUCUGUC